GGUGAGGUACUCAAGUGGUCGAAGAGGGGAGUUUGCUAAACUCCUAGGUCGGAGCAAUCCGGCGCGAGGGUUCGAAUCCCUCCCUCACCG
rfam:Candidatus Colwellbacteria bacterium RIFCSPLOWO2_02_FTLL_45_11 rifcsplowo2_02_scaffold_2000, whole genome shotgun sequence.